GUAGGGAAUAUUGGUGAAUGGGCGAAAGCCCGAACCAGCAACGCCGCGUGUGCGAUGAAGGCCUUCGGGUUGUAAAGCACUUUUCUCUGGGAAGAGGAAGGACGGUACCAGAGGAAUAAGCCUCGGCUAACUACGUGCCAGCAGCCGCGGUAAAACGUAGGAGGCGAGCGUUAUCCGGAUUUACUGGGUGUAAAGCGCGAGCAGGCGGCUCGCUAAGUUGGGUGUGAAAGCUCCCGGCUCAACUGGGAGAGGUCGCUCAAGACUGGCGGGCUAGAGGGUGGUAGAGGAAGGUGGAAUUCCGGGUGUAGUGGUGAAAUGCGUAGAUAUCCGGAGGAACACCAGUGGCGAAAGCGGCCUUCUGGGCCACCCCUGACGCUCAGACGCGAAAGCUAGGGUAGCAAACGGGAUUAGAAACCCGUGUAGUCC
rnacentral:rRNA from 1 species